rnacentral:rRNA from 1 species
GACGAACGCUGGCGGCGUGCUUAACACAUGCAAGUCGAGCGGUUCGGCGAACGGGUGCGUAACGCGUGAGUAUCUGGCCCCCUCUCUGGGAUAACAGUUGGAAACGGCGGAUAAUACCGGUUAGUUGGGGAUGACUCGCUUCCUAUCAGCUGUUUGGUGGGGUAGUGGCUUAUCACGGCGACGACGGUUAGCCGGCCUGGGAGGGGGACCGGCCACAUUGGGCUGAGAGACGGACCAAACUCCUACGGGGGGCACCAGUGGGGAAUAUUGCACAAUGGGGGAAACUCUGAUGCAGCAACCCGCGUGCGGGAUGACGGCUUUCGGGGUGUAAACCGCUUUCAGCUAUGACGCGGUAGUGGCAGAAGAAGCACCGGCUAACUACGUGCCAGCAGCCGCGGUAAUAC